UCAGGAUGAACGCUAGCUACAGGCUUAACACAUGCAAGUCGAGGGGCAGCGGGAUUGAAGCUUGCUUCAAUUGCCGGCGACUGGCGCACGGGUGAGUAACGCGUAUCCAACCUUCCGUACACUCAGGGAUAGCCUUUCGAAAGAAAGAUUAAUACCUGAUGGUAUGAUGAGAUUGCAUGAUAGCAUCAUUAAAGAUUUAUCGGUGUACGAUGGGGAUGCGUUCCAUUAGGUAGUAGGCGGGGUAACGGCCCACCUAGCCAACGAUGGAUAGGGGUUCUGAGAGGAAGGUCCCCCACAUUGGAACUGAGACACGGUCCAAACUCCUACGGGAGGCAGCAGUGAGGAAUAUUGGUCAAUGGACGAGAGUCUGAACCAGCCAAGUAGCGUGAAGGAUGAAGGUCCUACGGAUUGUAAACUUCUUUUAUAAGGGAAUAAACCCUCCCACGUGUGGGAGCUUGUAUGUACCUUAUGAAUAAGCAUCGGCUAACUCCGUGCCAGCAGCCGCGGUAAUACG
rnacentral:rRNA from 1 species